AUAAUGAUACUCGCGCAUCGAACGCCCUCAAAGCAUUGUGCGCCCCGCCAUCAGCAGUGGGGGGAGGUGAAAGUCCUGUGG
rnacentral:ncRNA from 1 species